AACGCACCUUGCGCUCCCUGGUAUUCCGGGGAGCAUGCCUGUUCGAGUGUCACGUUAACACCUCACCCGCAGACUUCACCGUCUGCGGCGUGGAUCUGGAUGCUGCCGUCGCUGGCUCGUCCUGAAAUGCAUUAGCCUCGCGUCUGCCUCUGACGACCUGACGGUGUGAUAAACAUCUGCAUCGUCGACGUCUCUGGUGCUGGGGCUCACAGUCGUCCUUCGGGACAGCUUUCUAAGCAUUGGCCUCGAAUCAGGUAGGACUACCCGCUGAACUUAA
rnacentral:misc_RNA from 1 species